rnacentral:rRNA from 1 species
CAGUAGCCACGGUAAUACGAAGGGGGCUAGCGUUGCUCGGAAUGGCUGGGCGUAAAGGGCGCGUAGGCGGAUGGUACAGUCAGAUGUGAAAUUCCUGGGCUUAACCUGGGGGCUGCAUUUGAUACGUAUUGUCUAGAGUGAGGAAGAGGGUCGUGGAAUUCCCAGUGUAGAGGUGAAAUUCGUAGAUAUUGGGAAGAACACCGACGGCGAAAGCACUCUGCUAGGCCGACACUGACACUGAGAGACGAAAGCUAGGGGAGCAAAUGGGAUUAGAUACCCCCGUAGUCCCUGUCUCUUAUAC